rnacentral:tRNA from 1 species
GGAAAGGUGCCGGAGUGGUUGAACGGGCUCGCCUGGAAAGCGAGUGUACUGCGAAAGUGGUACCGAGGGUUCGAAUCCCUCCUUUUCCG